rnacentral:rRNA from 1 species
AGAGCGAACGCUGGCGGCAGGCCUAACACAUGCAAGUCGAGCGCUCCGCAAGGGGAGCGGCAGACGGGAGAGUAACACGUGGGAACGUACCCUUCAGUUCGGAACAACCCAGGGAAACUUGGGCUAAUACCGAAUACGUCCGUAAGGAGAAAGAUUUAUCGCUGAAGGAUCGGCCCGCGUCUGAUUAGCUUGUUGGUGAGGUAACGGCUCACCAAGGCGACGAUCAGUAGCUGGUCUGAGAGGAUGAUCAGCCUCACUGGGACUGAGACACGGCCCAGACUCCUACGGGAGGCAGCAGUGGGGAAUAUUGGACAAUGGGCGCAAGCCUGAUCCAGCCAUGCCGCGUGGGUGAUGAAGGCCCUAGGGUUGUAAAGCCCUUUCGGCGGGGUAAGAUAAUGACGGUACCCGCAGAAGAAGCCCCGGCUAACUUCGCGCCAGCAGCCGC